rnacentral:rRNA from 1 species
AGCUCGUAGUUGGAUCUCGGUGUCGGGCUGGUGGUGCGCCCGUAGUGUGCGAUCUACUGCCAGUUCCCCGGCGAAAAGAGGCCGGCAGUUUUUCCCUUGGUGCUCUUGACUGAGUGUCUCGGGUGGCCGGAACGUUUACUGUGAAAAAAUUAGAGUGCUCAAAGCAGGCCUUCGUGCCCGAAUAUUGGUGCAUGGAAUAAUGGAGGACGACCUCGGCUCCACUUUGUUGGUUUACGGUGCUCGAGGUAAUGAUUAAGAGAGACUGCCGGGGGCAUACGUACUGCGGCGCGAGAGGUGAAAUUCUGUGACCGUCGCAGGACGAACGAAAGCGAAGGCAUUUGCCAAGAAUGUUUUCAUUAAUCAAGAACGAAAGUCAGAGGUUCGAAGACGAUCAGAUACCGUCGUAGUUCUGACCGCAAACUAUGCCAACUGACCCUCCGCCGGAGUUGCUUUAUUGACUCGGCGAGGAGCCCCCGGGAAACCAAAGUCUUUGGGUUCCGGGGGGGGUACGGUUGCAAAGCUGAAACUUAAAGGAAUUGACGGAAGGGCACCACCAGGAGUGGAGCCUGUGGCUUAAUUUGACUCAACACGGGAAACCUCACCCGGUCCGGACACUGGAAGGAUUGACAGAUUAACGCUCUUUCUUGAUUCAGUGGGUGGUGGUGCAUG